rnacentral:rRNA from 1 species
GACGAACGCUGGCGGCGUGCCUAACACAUGCAAGUCGAACGGAGCUGUUUUGAAAGAUUUCUUCGGAAUGAAUUUGAUUUAGUUUAGUGGCGGACGGGUGAGUAACGCGUGAGUAACCUGCCUUCAAGAGGGGGAUAACAUUCUGAAAAGAAUGCUAAUACCGCAUGACAUAUCGGAAUCACAUGAUUUUGAUAUCAAAGAUUUUAUCGCUUGAAGAUGGACUCGCGUCCGAUUAGUUAGUUGGUGAGGUAACGGCUCACCAAGACCGCGAUCGGUAGCCGGACUGAGAGGUUGAACGGCCACAUUGGGACUGAGACACGGCCCAGACUCCUACGGGAGGCAGCAGUGGGGGAUAUUGCGCAAUGGGGGCAACCCUGACGCAGCAACGCCGCGUGAAGGAUGAAGGUUUUCGGAUUGUAAACUUCUUUUAUUAAGGACGAAAAAUGACGGUACUUAAUGAAUAAGCUCCGGCUAACUACGUGCCAGCAGCCGCGGUAAUACGUAGGGAGCAAGCGUUGUCCGGAUUUACUGGGUGUAAAGGGUGCGUAGGCGGCUUUGCAAGUCAGAUGUGAAAUCUAUGGGCUCAACCCAUAAACUGCAUUUGAAACUGUAGAGCUUGAGUGAAGUAGAGGCAGGCGGAAUUCCCCGUGUAGCGGUGAAAUGCGUAGAGAUGGGGAGGAACACCAGUGGCGAAGGCGGCCUGCUGGGCUUUAAC